rnacentral:lncRNA from 1 species
CAGUUUAAGACCUGUGUGGCUAGGUCCAUUUUUUCCCAUUAAUUCUUGAUAUUCUUGACCUUUUGUUCUUUCAGAUGAAUUUUAAAAUUAUUUUUCCCAGCUCUUCGAAAUGAUUUUGUGGUAGUUUGAUUGAAAUGCUGAUGAUUUAGGAUAAGUUCAAACUUGAGAAGAAGAGGAAAACAAAUGAAGGAUGCUAAGUGAAAUCUCUUAUGCAUUUAUCAACAAAACAAGGCCCAAAUGGAAUAAAGUGACUUGAC